AAACAAAAAAAAAAAAAAAAAACACCCUAACCUAACAUUCUAGCAGAAAUGAAAAAAUAAAACUGAGGCUUCCCCCUUUUUCGCCGCUCUAUUCAUCAAUCCUUCCAAAGGAUCUCUGAACCCCUGCCCAGGCUCCGAUGACGACGGAGAGAGCAAGGAUUCGUCGGCAAGGUACGCUCCUCACCCUUCUCUCCUCUUUUACUUUAUCUAUCUGCUCAUAUAUUCUAAUGGUAAACAAAAAGAAAGAAAAAGAAUCGGAAAACAGAAAAAAUGGAAAAAAGAAAACCUUUCGUGUUCUUUUGUAUUCAGUAUGUCUUCUUUUUUUUGUUUUUACAAUAUGCCUCUCCCCUCCUCAAUACAAAAUGAUUGGCUUUUUAUAUAUAGCCGGAUUUUACAGAAAACAAAAAGAAAAAUCCCCCAUCGAAUCCCUUUUUUAUUCCUUUUAUUUUAUGCUAUUUUUGCUGUCGUUUUCUGCUUUCUUGCGUUCGUUGUGUCUUUUGCAGGUGUACGGGCGUACGAGGGGCAGCUGGGACGUGGCGCGGCUCGUGUGAAGGCGUGGUCCCUGGCGGUGGCGCACGCGCGAGGGCAGAGGCUGGGUAUGCGUGGAGGAGUUGGGGCUGCGGCGCUCUGAACGCCUAGGGUUUCUGAUGUUUAGGCAAGUCUGGGGCUAGGUGAUUUGGGUUGGGGUUAGGUGUCGGGCUAGUGUUUGGGUAGUUUAGGUUAAAAGUGGUUUGGGCCAUUCGGGUUUGUUGUUGUUUGUAAUCUGGACAUUGUUUAUUUUAUCUGGUUUAUGGGCUGGGCAAAAAUGGCCUACUACAAUCACCAUCAUAUAACUAUUGAGAAAAGCGUCAGACAAAAGUAAACUAAACGUGCUACAUCACACUGUCUAUCUAAUCCGCCCGAAAAAUGAGGCCGGCUGAAGAGGAGUGAAGGAAUAAGGUCUUUGCAAAGUUGGUUGAAAUAAAAUUGCUUAAUAAACAUUAAUAAAUAAAUUUAAGAAAAUAAUACAACCCAAUAAAUUAAUUUAUAUUUUAAUUUAAUAUUAAUAAAAUCAAUUAUAAUU
rnacentral:lncRNA from 1 species